GCCCAUCUGCGGAUUUCUAAGCCACCGCAAGGGAAACAGUGAGAAGGGGGAGGGAAAGCCGAGCACCACCGCCGUAAUCGCCCCUCGGUGAUUACCGUCCAUUUAGGGCAAAAUGUGCGCUCAGGGAAGCUUUGUCAAGGUUUACGGACGUCGUCGUGUGGAAUUCCAGGGCCGUGGGCGGCCAAGGCUCGGUGAAUUUCUCGCCGGUGACUGAAUCCGCCGCGGGCCACCCACUCUCCGCGGUCGGACCUCUAUGCUUCGUCCCUGCCGGUGAGAACUCUUCCCCUGCGUUCGCCAUGCCUUGCACUAUAUGAUUCACACUUUAGAUUAGAGUAUAAGGCCCUCCUAGACGGGGUGGCCGAACUCCGGCCAUCUCUCCGCUGUCUCUGGGCUGGUGGCGCCGCCGUGCUCGGAUGGCGUGAGGUGGGGGCAAGCUUGCGCCGUUGAUCCAGCGUGCAACGACCGUGAUUUGGCGCUGGGCGUAUCCUCUAGGUGAUUUGAUCUGAGCCAUGGAGGUGUGAUCGGGUGGUGUGAUAAGGUAUAGCCAUAAUAAAAUCUAGGUCGUUGAAUAGUAGAUCAUCGGCCAGGAUUAGAAGCAACCCACCCCUUCGACCAGAUUGUAUCUCGAUCAUUGGAUCUCAUUGUGAGGAUCAGAUUAGAUGAAUGGCGUGGCGUAUCCUUAGCCAUUGAUCUGUGAUCCGUGGGUCACUGUUGCAUACCGAUUCAGUU
rnacentral:lncRNA from 7 species